GAGUUUGAUCCUGGCUCAGAACGAACGCUGGCGGCGUGCUUAACACAUGCAAGUCGAACGUGAUUCAGAGCUUGCUCUGGUGAAAGUGGCGCACGGGUGAGUAACGCGUGGAUAACCUGCCCUGGUAUCUGGGAUAACAUCUCGAAAGGGGUGCUAAUACCGGAUAAGCCUACGGACUCCUCGGAGUCUGCAGGAAAAGGAGGCCUCUAUUUAUAAGCUUCCGUAUCAUGAUGGGUCCGCGUACCAUUAGCUAGUUGGUGGGGUAAUGGCCUACCAAGGCGACGAUGGUUAGCUGGUCUGAGAGGAUGAUCAGCCACACUGGAACUGAGACACGGUCCAGACUCCUACGGGAGGCAGCAGUGGGGAAUUUUGCGCAAUGGGGGAAACCCUGACGCAGCAACGCCGCGUGAGUGAUGAAGGCUUUCGGGUCGUAAAGCUCUGUCAGAGGGGAAGAAAUGAAACGUGCUAAUAUCACGUUUUCUUGACGGUACCCUCAAAGGAAGCACCGGCUAACUCCGUGCCAGCAGCCGCGGUAAUACAAGGGCSMACCCY
rnacentral:rRNA from 1 species